GACGAACGCUGGCGGCGUGCUUAACGCAUGCAAGUCGAACGGAAAGGCCCUGCUUUUGUGGGGUGCUCGAGUGGCGAACGGGUGAGUAACACGUGAGUAACCUGCCCUUGACUUUGGGAUAACUUCAGGAAACUGGGGCUAAUACCGGAUAGGAGCUCCUGCUGCAUGGUGGGGGUUGGAAAGUUUCGGCGGUUGGGGAUGGACUCGCGGCUUAUCAGCUUGUUGGUGGGGUAGUGGCUUACCAAGGCUUUGACGGGUAGCCGGCCUGAGAGGGUGACCGGCCACAUUGGGACUGAGAUACGGCCCAGACUCCUACGGGAGGCAGCAGUGGGGAAUAUUGCACAAUGGGCGGAAGCCUGAUGCAGCAACGCCGCGUGCGGGAUGACGGCCUUCGGGUUGUAAACCGCUUUCGCCUGUGACGAAGAGUGAGUGACGGUAAUGGGUAAAGAAGCACCGGCUAACUACGUG
rnacentral:rRNA from 1 species